GACGAACGCUGGCGGCGUGCUUAACACAUGCAAGUCGAACGGAAAGGCCCUGCUUUUGUGGGGUGCUCGAGUGGCGAACGGGUGAGUAACACGUGAGUAACCUGCCCUUGACUUUGGGAUAGCUUCAGGAAACUGGGGCUAAUACCGGAUAGGAGCUCCUGCUGCAUGGUGGGGGUUGGAAAGUUUCGGCGGUUGGGGAUGGACUCGCGGCUUAUCAGCUUGUUGGUGGGGUAGUGGCUUACCAAGGCUUUGACGGGUAGCCGGCCUGAGAGGGUGACCGGCCACAUUGGGACUGAGAUACGGCCCAGACUCCUACGGGAGGCAGCAGUGGGGAAUAUUGCACAGUGGGCGGAAGCCUGAUGCAGCAACGCCGCGUGCGGGAUGACGGCCUUCGGGUUGUAAACCGCUUUCGCCUGUGACGAAGCGUGAGUGACGGUAAUGGGUAAAGAAGCACCGGCUAACUACGUG
rnacentral:rRNA from 1 species